rnacentral:rRNA from 1 species
UACGGAGGAUCCAAGCGUUAUCCGGAUUCAUUGGGUUUAAAGGGUGCGUAGGCGGAAUGAUAAGUCAGUGGUGAAAUCCUGCAGCUUAACUGCAGAACUGCCAUUGAUACUGUCAAUCUUGAGUAUAUUUGAUGUGGGCGGAAUGUGUCAUGUAGCGGUGAAAUGCUUAGAUAUGACACAGAACACCGAUUGCGAAGGCAGCUGACUACAGGAAUAUUGACACUGAGGCACGAAAGCGUGGGGAUC